rnacentral:pre_miRNA from 1 species
UGUGCACCAGUGGGGUCCCUUGGCCUGGUCUGUGGAUUGCGAGAGGGCGCAGGCCAGGCUGAGGGACCCCACUGGUGCACA